rnacentral:rRNA from 1 species
AUUGAACGCUGGCGGCAGGCCUAACACAUGCAAGUCGCGCGAGCGGCGGACGGGUGAGUAAUGUAUGGGGACUGCCAGAUGGAGGGGGAUAACUAAUGGAAACGGUGGCUAAUACCGCAUACUAUCGGAUAACCCAUAUGGGAUUAGCUAGUAGGUGGGGUACAGGCUCACCUAGGCGACGAUCUCUAGCGGGGCUCAGAGGAUGAUCAGCCACACUGGGACUGAGACACUGCCCAGACUCCUACGGAGGCAGCAGUGGGGAAUAUUGCACAAUGGGCGCAAGCCUGAUGCAGCCAUGCCUCGUGUAUGAAGAAGGCCUUAGGGUUUUAAAGUACUUUCAGCAGGGAGGCGUUACCCGCAGAAGAAGCACCGGCUAACUCCGUGCCAGCAGCCGCGGUAAUUC